AUUGAACGCUGGCGGCAGGCUUAACACAUGCAAGUCGAGCGGAGAGAGGUAGCUUGCUACUGCUCUUAGCGGCGAACGGGUGAGUAAAGCUUAGGAAUCUGGCUAUUAGUGGGGGACAACGUUUCGAAAGGAACGCUAAUACCGCAUACGUCCUACGGGUGAAAGCAGGGGCUCUUUAAGACCUUGCGCUAAUAGAUGAGCCUAAGUCGGAUUAGCUAGUUGGUGGGGUAAAGGCCUACCAAGGCGACGAUCUGUAGCGGGUCUGAGAGGAUGAUCCGCCACACUGGGACUGAGACACGGCCCAGACUCCUACGGGAGGCAGCAGUGGGGAAUAUUGGACAAUGGGGGGAACCCUGAUCCAGCCAUGCCGCGUGUGUGAAGAAGGCCUUAUGGUUGUAAAGCACUUUAAGCGAGGAGGAGGCUCUUUUGGUUAAUACCCAAGAUGAGUGGACGUUACUCGCAGAAUAAGCCCCGGCUAACUCCGUGCCAGCAGCCGCGGUAA
rnacentral:rRNA from 1 species